GGAGAGGUGCCCGAGCGGCCGAAGGGGCACGCCUGGAGAGCGUGUGUACCCACAAGGUACCGAGGGUUCGAAUCCCUCCCUCUCCG
rnacentral:tRNA from 1 species